rnacentral:lncRNA from 1 species
UUCCAGAUUUGUAGUGAUGCUUGCUCUAAUAACACUGUGCAGCUGUGCAGGACGUAAGCAGAGCAGUCAUAUUAAAUGUAUUCCUUCCUUUUUUCUUUCCUAGACUGCGUGUGUCCUCUUGGUCACUAUUGCCCCACUGGCAGCCCAGAGCCCACACCUUGUCCCUCUGGAAAAUAUCAGGACCAGACUGGUAAAAGCCAGUGUAAAAUAUGCCCAGCAGGANNGUUCUGUGCCCGAAAAGACCAGCCAGAAGCUCUCCAAGAGGACUUCUCACAUGGGGUGGUCAAACCAGUGAUCUGUCCGGCAGGACAUUACUGCCUCUCAGGAACAAAAGCUGCUAACCAGUACCCGUGCCCCGAGGGGACCUUCAGUAACCAGACUGGCUUGAGAAAUCCCAGGGAGUGUAGGCCUUGUCCCGGAGGCACGUUUUGUGCCACUGCAGGACUCUUGACCCCAAGUGGUCCUUGUUUGCCUGGGUAUUACUGCACUUUGAAGGCACGCCUACCCAAUCCUGUUAACGAUGAGACUGGUGACCUCUGCCCGGCAGGUCACUUCUGCCCGCCAGGUAGCAGCAAGCCAGAGCUGUGUCCCGCUGGCACGUUUUUACCUCAGUCUGGGAUGGUUUUCCGUAAUGCCUGUCUACCCUGCCCUGGAGGGAAGUUCUGCCAAGGAGAGGGCCUGGCCAGUGUUUCUGGUGAGUACCGCACGCGUCUCAGAGUGAGACGUGCUUGCAGUGCUGGUUUCCCAUGGUCUCACCAGUCUUGA